UUAAUCGUGCAACAAAUAUAGUGUAACCUGGUCAGAAUCGGAAGAUAGCAGCCACAGCAUUUCCUAUUUGUGUGCACUUUUUUUUU
rnacentral:SRP_RNA from 1 species